GACGAACGCUGGCGGCGUGCCUAAUACAUGCAAGUAGAACGCUGAGGGAGGAGCUUGCUCUUCUGGAUGAGUUGCGAACGGGUGAGUAACGCGUAGGUAACCUGCCUGGUAGCGGGGGAUAACUAUUGGAAACGAUAGCUAAUACCGCAUAACAGUAGAUGUUGCAUGACAUUUGCUUAAAAGGUGCAAUUGCACCACUACCAGAUGGACCUGCGUUGUAUUAGCUAGUUGGUGGGGUAACGGCUCACCAAGGCGACGAUACAUAGCCGACCUGAGAGGGUGAUCGGCCACACUGGGACGGAGACACGGCCCAGACUCCUACGGGAGGCAGCAGUAGGGAAUCUUCGGCAAUGGACGGAAGUCUGACCGAGCAACGCCGCGUGAGUGAAGAAGGUUUUCGGAUCGUAAAGCUCUGUUGUAAGAGAAGAACGAGUGUGAGAGUGGAAAGUUCACACUGUGACGGUAUCUUACCAGAAAGGGACGGCUAACUACGUG
rnacentral:rRNA from 1 species